GCUAGGUGCAGUGGUGCACACCUGUAAUCCCAGAUUCUUGGGAGGCUGAGGCAGGAGGAUCAUGAGUUCAAAGCCAGCCUCAGCAAAUUUGUGAGUCCCUAGGCAACUUAGUGAGACCCUGUCUCAA
rnacentral:sRNA from 1 species